rnacentral:rRNA from 1 species
CUACGGGAGGCAGCAGUGAGGAAUAUUGGUCAAUGGCCGAGAGGCUGAACCAGCCAUCCCGCGUGCAGGAUGACGGCCCUAUGGGUUGUAAACUGCUUUUCUACGCCAAGAAAUCUGAUUACGUGUAAUUAGUUGACGGUAGCGUAGGAAUAAGCAUCGGCUAACUCCGUGCCAGCAGCCGCGGUAAUACGGAGGAUGCAAGCGUUAUCCGGAUUCAUUGGGUUGAAAGGGUGCGCAGGCGGGCUUGUAAGUCAGUGGUGAAAUACUGCCGCUUAACGGUAGAACUGCCAUUGAUACUGCAAGUCUUGAAUAUGGUUGAGGUAGGCGGAAUGUGUUGUGUAGCGGUGAAAUGCAUAGAUAUGACACAGAACGCCGAUUGCGAAGGCAGCUUACUAAGCCAUUAUUGACGCUGAGGCACGAAAGCGUGGGGAGCGAACAGGAUUAGAUACCCUCGUAGUC